rnacentral:rRNA from 1 species
ACUCAAAGGAAUUGACGGGGGCCCGCACAAGCAGUGGAGUAUGUGGUUUAAUUCGAAGCAACGCGAAGAACCUUACCAGGUCUUGACAUCCGAUGCAUAGCACAGAGAUGUGUGAAAUCCUUCGGGACAUCGAGACAGGUGGUGCAUGGUUGUCGUCAGCUCGUGUCGUGAGAUGUUGGGUUAAGUCCCGCAACGAGCGCAACCCUUAUUGCCAGUUACUACGUUAAGAGGACUCUGGCGAGACUGCCGUUGACAAAACGGAGGAAGGUGGGGAUGACGUCAAAUCAUCAUGCCCUUUAUGACCUGGGCUACACACGUACUACAAUGGCGUUAAACAAAGAGAAGCAAGACCGCGAGGUGGAGCAAAACUCAAAAACAACGUCUCAGUUCAGAUUGCAGGCUGCAACUCGCCUGCAUGAAGUCGGAAUUGCUAGUAAUCGCGGAUCAGCAUGCCGCGGUGAAUACGUUCCCGGGCCUUGCACACACCGCCCGU